UACGUAGGGCGCAAGCGUUGUCCGGAAUUAUUGGGCGUAAAGAGCUCGUAGGCGGCUUGUCACGUCGGAUGUGAAAGCCCGGGGCUUAACCCCGGGUCUGCAUUCGAUACGGGCAGGCUAGAGUGUGGUAGGGGAGAUCGGAAUUCCUGGUGUAGCGGUGAAAUGCCCAGAUAUCAGGAGGAACACCGGUGGCGAAGGCGGGUCUCUGGGCCGAUACUGACGCUGAGGAGCGAAAGCGUGGGGAGCGAACAGG
rnacentral:rRNA from 1 species